rnacentral:rRNA from 1 species
GACGAACGCUGGCGGCGUGCUUAACACAUGCAAGUCGAACGGAAAGGCCCUGCUUUUGUGGGGUGCUCGAGUGGCGAACGGGUGAGUAACACGUGAGUAACCUGCCCUUGACUUUGGGAUAACUUCAGGAAACUGGGGCUAAUACCGGAUAGGAGCUCCUGCUGCAUGGUGGGGGUUGGAAAGUUUCGGCGGUUGGGGAUGGACUCGCGGCUUAUCAGCUUGUUGGUGGGGUAGUGGCUUACCAAGGCUUUGACGGGUAGCCGGCCUGAGAGGGUGACCGGCCACAUUGGGACUGAGAUACGGCCCAGACUCCUACGGGAGGCAGCAGUGGGGAAUAUUGCACAAUGGGCGGAAGCCUGAUGCAGCAACGCCGCGUGCGGGAUGACGGCCUUCGGGUUGUAAACCGCUUUCGCCUGUGACGAAGCGUGAGUGACGGUAAUGGGUAAAGAAGCACCGGCUAACUACGUGCCAGCAGCCGCGGUGAUACGUAGGGUGCGAGCGUUGUCCGGAUUUAUUGGGCGUAAAGGGCUCGUAGGUGGUUGAUCGCGUCGGAAGUGUAAUCUUGGGGCUUAACCCUGAGCGUGCUUUCGAUACGGGUUGACUUGAGGAAGGUAGGGGAGAAUGGAAUUCCUGGUGGAGCGGUGGAAUGCGCAGAUAUCAGGAGGAACACCAGUGGCGAAGGCGGUUUUCUGGGCCUUUCCUGACGCUGAGGAGCGAAAGCGUGGGGAGCGAACAGGCUUAGAUACCCUGGUAGUCCACGCUGUAAACGGUGGGUACUAGGUGUGGGGUCCAUUCCACGGGUUCCGUGCCGUAGCUAACGCUUUAAGUACCCCGCCUGGGGAGUACGGCCGCAAGGCUAAAACUCAAAGGAAUUGACGGGGCCCCGCACAAGCGGCGGAGCAUGCGGAUUAAUUCGAUGCAACGCGUAGAACCUUACCUGGGUUUGACAUGGAUCGGGAGUGCUCAGAGAUGGGUGUGCCUCUUUUGGGGUCGGUUCACAGGUGGUGCAUGGCUGUCGUCAGCUCGUGUCGUGAGAUGUUGGGUUAAGUCCCGCAACGAGCGCAACCCUUGUUCACUGUUGCCAGCACGUUAUGGUGGGGACUCAGUGGAGACCGCCGGGGUCAACUCGGAGGAAGGUGGGGAUGACGUCAAGUCAUCAUGCCCCUUAUGUCCAGGGCUUCACGCAUGCUACAAUGGCUGGUACAGAGAGUGGCGAGCCUGUGAGGGUGAGCGAAUCUCGGAAAGCCGGUCUCAGUUCGGAUUGGGGUCUGCAACUCGACCUCAUGAAGUCGGAGUCGCUAGUAAUCGCAGAUCAGCAACGCUGCGGUGAAUACGUUCCCGGG